GGUCAAGUGAAUAAGUGCAUACGAUGGAUGCCUUGGCAGUAGAAGGCGAUGAAGGACGUGAUAAUCUGCGAUAAGCUUCGGUUAGCUGAUAAAUAAGCUUUAACCCGGAGAUCUCCGAAUGGGAAAACCCAGUGAUCAUAAGAUCAUUAUCUUUAACUGAAUACAUAGGUUAAGGAGGCAAACCUAGGGAACUGAAACAUCUAAGUACCUAGUGGAAAAGAAAUCAACCGAGAUUCCCUUAGUAGCGGCGAGCGAACGGGGACCAGCCCUUAAGCAAUUUUGAGAUUAGUAGAAUGUUCUGGAAAGUUCAACGAUACAGGGUGAUAGUCCCGUAUACGAAAAUCUUUUAGUUGUGAAAUCGAGUAAGGCGGCGCACGUGAAACGCUGUUUGAAAAUGGGGGGACCACCCUCCAAGGCUAAAUACUCUCUACUGACCGAUAGUGAACAAGUACCGUGAGGGAAAGGCGAAAAGAACCCCGGGAGGGGAGUGAAAUAGAACCUGAAAUCGUAUGCAUACAAGCAGUGGGAGCAGACUUGUUCUGUGACUGCGUACCUUUUGUAUAAUGGGUCAGCGACUUACUUCUCAGUAGCAAGGUUAACCAUUAGGGGAGCCGUAGGGAAACCGAGUCUUAAAUGGGCGAUUAGUUGCUGGGAGUAGACCCGAAACCGGGUGAUCUAUCCAUGGCCAGGGUGAAGGUUAGGUAAAACUAACUGGAGGCCCGAACCCACUUAUGUUGAAAAAUGAGGGGAUGAGCUGUGGAUAGGGGUGAAAGGCCAAACAAACCCGGAGAUAGCUGGUUCUCUCCGAAAUCUAUUUAGGUAGAGCGUCAUGUAUUACUUCUGGGGGUAGAGCACUGUUAUGGCUAGCGGGUCGUCAAGACUUAGCAAACCAUUGCAAACUCCGAAUACCAGAAAGUAUGAGCAUGGCAGACACACUGCGGGUGCUAACGUCCGUAGUGGAAAGGGAAACAACCCAGACCGUCAGCUAAGGUCCCAAAAUUAUAGUUAAGUGGUAAACGAUGUGAAAAGGCCCAGACAGCCAGGAGGUUGGCUUAGAAGCAGCCAUUCCUUUAAAGAGUGCGUAAUAGCUCACUGGUCGAGUCGGUUUGCGCGGAAGAUUUAACGGGGCUAAACUAUAUACCGAAGCUGCGGAUCGCAAUUUAUUGCGAUGGUAGGAGAGCGUUCUGUAAGCCGUUGAAGGUGAACUGAGAGGUUUGCUGGAGGUAUCAGAAGUGCGAAUGCUGACAUGAGUAACGAUAAAGGGGGUGAAAAACCCCCUCGCCAGAAGUCCAAGGUUUCCUACGCAACGUUAAUCGGCGUAGGGUUAGUCGGCCCCUAAGGCGAGGCAGAAAUGCGUAGUCGAUGGGAAACGGGUUAAUAUUCCCGUACUUCAUAUAACUGCGAUGGGAAGACGGAGUAGGUUAGCUCAGCAAGGCGAUGGUUGUCCUUGUUCAAGCGUGUAGAAAUGGUUCUUAGGAAAAUCCGGGAACCUCUAUUUCAAGGCGUGAUAACGAUCCCUCUUUUGGGAGAAGUGAGUAAUACCAUGCUUCCAGGAAAAUCCUCUAAGCUUCAGGUUAUAUGAAACCGUACCCCAAACCGACACAGGUGGACGAGAUGAGAAUUCUAAGGCGCUUGAGAGAACUCGGGUGAAGGAACUAGGCAAAAUGACACCGUAACUU
rnacentral:rRNA from 1 species